GGUUUCGCGAGAACCCGUCUGGAGGAAGCUGGAGCGCAAAACCGGGAGCCGAUGAACAAGAACGUGAUAUCAAGGCCUGGUUCCGGAGGCGAGGCAGCCAAUGAUGCCGAUGCCCAGUGGGAGUGGAACAGGGUAAAUCACGCGGUUGUCCGGGGACAGUGUGUAUC
rfam:Spirochaeta africana DSM 8902, complete genome.